rnacentral:rRNA from 1 species
GUGUCAGCAGCCGCGGUAAUACGGAGGGUGCAAGCGUUAUCCGGAUUCACUGGGUUUAAAGGGUGCGUAGGAGGGUAGGUAAGUCAGUGGUGAAAUCUCCGGGCUCAACUCGGAAACUGCCGUUGAUACUAUCUGUCUUGAAUACCGUGGAGGUGAGCGGAAUAUGUCAUGUAGCGGUGAAAUGCUUAGAUAUGACAUAGAACACCGAUUGCGAAGGCAGCUCACUACACGCAUAUUGACUCUGAGGCACGAAAGCGUGGGGAUCAAACAGGAUUAGAAACCCGUGUAGUCC